GCCGGAUUCGUCUAGAGGCCCAGGACGCCGCCCUCUCACGGCGGUAACGCGGGUUCGAAUCCCGCAUCCGGUACCA
rnacentral:tRNA from 1 species